rnacentral:lncRNA from 1 species
UUAGUAACGCCUAUGUAAGAUUUUCUAAACGAAGUGUGGCAACCCCAAUUACUUAAUAAAAAAUAAAAAUGUUAUAAAAUGAAAAUGGCGUCAUUUCACCAAAUAUUUUAAAACACAAAUUCACGAAUAAUAAAAUAAAUGUUUGCCACGGCUUGUUAAUAUUUAUGAAGAUCUCUUCAUGGAUUGGAUUUAAGCAACCUGCUGUGUAAUAUCCUUGCCAUUCUUGAUGUUGAGAAGAUCUAUAAGUCUUUUACGUUUCAUCUGAGUGUUGUGGUUUUUCAUUAUGUUUUAAGACUUUGUUAGUUCAAGUGUCUCUAUAACUAUGAAGAAGAACAAAAGAAAAUGCUUUGAGUGUGUUUCUUCGCCUGCCGAUGAUCCAGAGAAGACCCUACAGAGAUUACCGAAAUUUGAUUCUACAAAUUUAGUCUCCGGUAGCUUAAUCUGGAGCAACAUAAGGUUAAUUAUGAAAUGGUAAUGAAAAUAAACAUCUGAGAAAAGCAAAUUCCAUGAACUAAUUUGAAAGUAUCUGUUACCAGAAGUAAAUUUUUUACUAUACCACUGUUCAAUAUUAAACCACAGGUAUAUGUACUAAAGGCAGUAAUGUCCAGAUAAUCAAUGAUUAGACUAUUGGACUUUUAGAAUAAAUUUUACAUUGAACUAUGAAUGGUUUGUCAUCUACAUUUUUAAAAAAGACGAGAUGUUUUGCCUGUAAGAAGAAGAGAGAGAGAGAAUAAGAAG